CUGGUUAGUACUUGGAUGGGAGACCGCCUGGGAAUACGAG
rnacentral:rRNA from 1 species